GGCGGACGGGUGAGUAAUGCGUAGGAAUCUACCCAGUAGCGGGGGAUAGCUCGGGGAAACUCGGAUUAAUACCGCAUACACCCCCUUUCAUAUGAUUGGGGGGAAAGCAGGGGAUCUUCGGACCUUGCACUAUUGGAUGAGCCUACGUCUGAUUAGCUAGUUGGUAGAGUAAAGGCCUACCAAGGCGACGAUCAGUAGCUGGUCUGAGAGGACGAUCAGCCACACUGGGACUGAGACACGGCCCAGACUCCUACGGGAGGCAGCAGUGGGGAAUAUUGGACAAUGGGCGAAAGCCUGAUCCAGCAAUGCCGCGUGUGUGAAGAAGGCCUGCGGGUUGUAAAGCACUUUCGGCAGGGAAGAAAUGCUUGGGACUAAUACUCUCAAGUCUUGACGUCACCUGCAGAAGAAGCACCGGCUAACUCCGUGCCAGCAGCCGCGGUAAUACGGAGGGUGCUAGCGUUAAUCGGAAUUACUGGGCGUAAAGCGCGCGUAGGCGGUUUGGCAAGUCGGAUGUGAAAGCCCCGGGCUUAACCUGGGAAUUGCAUUCGAGACUGCCUGGCUAGAGUUUGGUAGAGGAAAGCGGAAUUCCGGGUGUAGCGGUGAAAUGCGUAGAUAUCCGGAGGAACAUCAGUGGCGAAGGCGGCU
rnacentral:rRNA from 1 species